CUCAACUAUUAUACGAGUCCAGCCUCGUGGUGCCUGAGCAUUAUCUCCAAUGGUGCAUGCCACAUCCACCAGAGCUUCUUGAGGUACUGAGAGAAAGAGGACUACUUCAGGAAAAUGUAAUAAUUGACAGAUCAAAAGAAGUGCUGAGGAACCUCAAUCUGUUUCAUUCUGUCGGCAAGUCGGGACAUCCCAUCUCUGUUAUUGUAACCUCCAUUGAUAUAGUAUGUUCUACUAAAAAAUGCAUCCAUCUUGUCCCCGCAA